GACGAACCGUGCGAACGUUGUUCGGAUUCACUGGGCUUAAAGCGCACGUAGGCGGGUUGUUAAGUCGGGGGUGAAAUCCUGGAGCUCAACUCCAGAACUGCCUUCGAUACUGGCGACCUUGAGUCCGGGAGAGGUGAGUGGAACUCCGAGUGUAGAGGUGAAAUUCGUAGAUAUUCGGAAGAACACCAGUGGCGAAGGCGGCUCACUGGCCCGGUACUGACGCUGAGGUGCGAAAGCGUGGGGAGCAAACAGG
rnacentral:rRNA from 1 species